rnacentral:misc_RNA from 1 species
UUUCCGUGGGUGAACCUGCGGAAGGAUCAUUAAAGAACGCCCCGUUUUUUGAAAUGGGUAAUUCUAAACCGUGUAUACAUACCUUUGUUGCUUUGGCAGGCCGCCCCUCAGGGCGUCGGCUCCGGCUGACUGCGCCUGCCAGAGGACCCAAACUCUUUUGUUUAGUGAUGUCUGAGUACUAUAUAAUAGUUAAAACUUUCAACAACGGAUCUCUUGGUUCUG